GGUUUAGUAGUCCUGGCGUCAGGAUGAACGCUGGCGGCGUGCCUAACACAUGCAAGUCGAACGGGGCGGCGCGAGGCGUGAGGCGUUUUCGGAGCGGAAGCCGGCGCUGCCACGUGGCGGACGGGUGAGUAACGCGUGGCGAACCUGCCCUGCACUGGGGGACGAACAGCCGGAAACGGCUGCUAAUACCGCAUAUGCCCGCAGCCCCGCAUGGGGCGGCGGGGGAAGCUCCGGCGGUGCAGGAUGGGCCCGCGUCUGAUUAGCUGGUUGGCGGGGCAACGGCCCACCAAGGCGACGAUCAGUAGCCGGCCUGAGAGGGUGGGCGGCCACAUUGGGACUGAGACACGGCCCAGACUCCUACGGGAGGCAGCAGUGGGGGAUAUUGCACAAUGGGGGGACCCUGAUGCAGCGACGCCGCGUGGGCGAUGGAGUGCUUCGGCAUGUAAAGCCCUAUCAGCAGGGAAGAAAAUGACGGUACCUGACUAAGAAGCCCCGGCUAAAUACGUG
rnacentral:rRNA from 1 species